ensembl:lncRNA
AUGACUACAUUGACAGCAUACAGCUUGUUUUACACCUUUGAAGUUCUUCAUCAGAACAACACAUCUUCAACUGUUGGCAUAGCUAAAUUCUUAUCUCUCACACUGCAACCCACAUAUUCCUAUCUCCACAAGGCCUUUGCUGAUUCCCACCUCUCCAACAACUGCCAUACUCUAUUAUCUUCUUAUAGGUUUCCAAAACAACUUUAACAAUUACAUCAUGCUUGAAAUCGGUUUUUCAAUUUCUGUAAUCUAUCCUUGACUAUUAUGGUACAAGAUCAGGGACUAUGUAUAUCUUAUUUAUCAGCUCAUCAUGAUCCAGAGAAUCUAGGACCAUGCCUGCCACCAAGGGGUCUUUAGUAAAUAUAAUAUAAAUGAAUAAAUGGAAGGUAGAAACAAGAAAUAGAGAGGGGAAGGGAUAGAGAAUGAGUGGGUCUGACACCAUCUUAAGGUGUUACCUUCUCCUUGAGUUCUCUGGCUUUGAUCACUCCUGCUAUCACCGGCCACCAUGAUACUCCUAGCAAUGAGAGGCAGGAUGGUUUUGUGUGGAAAGACCAUGGUUUAAAUCCAAGUUCUUCCAUUUACUAACUAGGAUUUGAGCAAGUUACCUAGCCUGGCUAAACCUGACUCUUUAUUUGGAAUAUACUUUGCAGGGUUGCUGUGAGGAUAAAAUGAGAUCAUACCUAAAAAAGUACAUGAUGGUUGCUCAAUAAAUAUUAAUUACUUUCCAUCUCCACUCUCCCCCACCUCCCACCCAAAGUGUGCUGCUGUUCCUUUAACACUUUGGCUCAAGUGUGGACAAAAACAUCUUCUCUUGGAACCACAUCUGACAUAGACUGGCACUUUACUAAUUGCUAAGAGAAAAACAAAAGGCAAUUAAAUAUAGAGAGCAGUGGCAGUAAAAAAGCAGUAUGGCUUCCUCCCAAUCGAGUUUAGCUUUCAGUGUAGCUACUGUUUUUUCAGACUCAAAGGCUCUGCUGUAUUCUAAAUGGGAUCCUAAAGGGAAAGAGAUAGUAUGGGGCAAACUAUUUUCUUUCAUUCAUCUGUUCAUUUAUUCAGUAAUCAUUGCUUGUGUCCUAAUUAUCAGGGAAUUAGUACAGACCCCCUAGUUUGUAUAACACACAGUAUCUUACACAAAACAAAAACAAAACAUCAGCCUAGAGAUUAAAAAAAACCUGCAGGAAAAUGAGGGUAAAAUUGUGUUUCUCAUGGUAGGAAAAUAAGGUUACCAGAUUUUAAGGAGGCAAAAAAAGCAAGAAACUCAGCUAUAUCUGAAAAAUAGCUUCAAUUGCUGUAUUUUUCUAUAAAAGCUGAAAUAAGGACAUUUAAAUAUUCUGACAAAAUCACUGUAAGAUACAAGUCGAAAUCAUUACAUACAGGAAAUGUCCUGUAUACACGGAAUAACUGGUUAACCUACCUCAAGUGGUGGGGCCCAUAAUCAAAGGCUAAGUUGCACCCUUAAUGUGAGGUUUGAGAAGAGCCUUUGAUCAAGGGAGGAGACUUCAACCACUUCCAGACAUAACAUAUGCAGAAGGUGCCAAGGAUAGACUAGACAAAGGAGAACUGAAGAGAGCUGAAUGGUAGGGAAGG